rnacentral:lncRNA from 1 species
AUGUUCUGUUGUAUUUACAGCUUUAACAUAGCAAACCAGGGUGAAUUACCACUUGGCAGAAAGCACAAGCAAGUAGUACAGUAUGUUAGGGAUCAUCUCAAAAGUUUCAAGCUAAUUCUUUCUUUGCUCCUAGUACCUAAUCCCCUCUCUACUCCUAGCCCCUGGCCUAAUCAUCAGGAGACAAAAGAAAAAGAAAAAAGGGGCAGGGAUUCCAAUCAUAUAGAAAGUGUCGAGAAUUGCAAUUUAUUAGUAAUUAUGCUGCAUUUGUCCUUGUCCUUUCUAUUUUAUACAGUGACAACACCUUUACAAUCCCUUAGGUACACAACACAGAAUAAGGUACUGCAAAAUUAG